GCGAGAGUGGUUCAGUGGCAGAACAUCUCCUUGCCAAGGAGAAGAUCGCGGGUUCGAUUCCCGUCUCUCGCU
rnacentral:tRNA from 1 species